UGCUCGCUUUAACAGCACAUAAAUAAAACUGGAACAAUUCUGAAAGCAUUAGCAUGGCUUCUGUCCAAGGAUAACACAUAAAUUUAUUAUGUGUUACAUAUUUUU
ensembl:snRNA U6 U6 spliceosomal RNA